CCCUUCUCAUGUCCUAAUACAUUUACUAUUAUCAUAAACAAUAUUUUCUCCCCUCCCUCCGGACGGCAGAAAUUUCCUCUGUGGGGGGACUACAGGUUUUUUCUGGAACGACCCAUUGUAACUCGGAUAAUUAUGCGGUCAAAAAAUAAAAAUCUCAUGCAAACAAUAUUCGAAGUGUCUAUUUAGUAAACUGUCACUUGUGAAUCCAUACCCAUUUUCAAAACUUUAUUGUAAUCAUAUGAAGCAGAAGUUCUGUCACUUGUUGUUU